rnacentral:rRNA from 1 species
GACGAACGCUGGCGGCGUGCUUAACACAUGCAAGUCGAACGGAGUGGCGUACGGGUGAGUAACGCGUAAUCAACCUGCCCUUCAGAGGGGGUCAACAGUUGGAAACGACUGCUAAAAACGCAUAUCGAAGGAGGGGUUUGCGUCAGAUUAGCCAGUUGGAGGGGUAACGGGCCACCAAGGCGAUGAUCAGUAGCCGGUCUGAGAGGAUGGACGGGCACAUUGGGACUGGUACACUGCCCAGACUCCUACGGGAGGCAGCCGUGGGGAAUCUUCCGCAAUGGACGAAAGUCUGACGGAGCAACGCCGCGUGGGUGAUGACGGCCUUCGGGUUGUAAAGCUCUGUUAAUCGGGACGCGGUACCGGAAUAGAAAGCCACGGCUAACUACGUGCCAGCAGCCGCGGUAAUUC